rnacentral:lncRNA from 1 species
UUUUAUGUAAUGAGAGUGAGAUUUAUGGGAUUAUGCGCAUGCAAAACUUGUUAUGUUUUUUUUCUUCUUUUUUAAAAAAUUGUCCAUGAGGUGUAAUAUUAUGCUUAGCUAGUUCUGGUUGAUAAUAUUGCAACAUGCAAAAUCAUGAAAAAUACAAAUGUUGAAUUGAACGACAUAAUUAUUCUACCAAGAAACAUGGCCUAACUAUGAAAAUUGCGAAAAUCAUGUAUAUAUGGG